UACGUAGGGUGCAAGCGUUGUCCGGAAUUAUUGGGCGUAAAGAGCUUGUAGGCGGUUUGUCGCGUCUGCUGUGAAAUUUCGGGGCUCAACCCCGAACUUGCAGUGGGUACGGGCAGACUAGAGUGUGGUAGGGGGAGACUGGAAUUCCUGGUGUAGCGGUGAAAUGCGCAGAUAUCAGGAGGAACACCGAUGGCGAAGGCGGCAUCCUGGACCAACAUUGACGCUGAGGAGCGAAAGCCAGGGGAGCAAACGGGG
rnacentral:rRNA from 1 species